UACGUAGGGGUCUAGCGUUGUCCGGAAUUAUUGGGCGUAAAGGGCGCGUAGGCGGCUUUGCAAGUGGCGGGUGAAAGCCCUCGGCUUAACCGGAGGAACUGCCUGUCAGACUGUGAGGCUUGAGACCGGGAGAGGUGAGUGGAAUGCCCAGUGUAGCGGAUGAAAUGCGUAGAUGAUUGGGAGGAACACCAGUGGCGAAGGCGGCUCACUGGACGGAACUGACGCGUGAGGCGCGAAAGCGUGGGGAGCAAACAGG
rnacentral:rRNA from 1 species